UAGGGAAUCUUCGGCAAUGGACGAAAGUCUGACCGAGCAACGCCGCGUGAGUGAAGAAGGUUUUCGGAUCGUAAAACUCUGUUGUUAGAGAAGAACAAGGACGUUAGUAACUGAACGUCCCCUGACGGUAUCUAACCAGAAAGCCACGGCUAACUACGUGCCAGCAGCCGCGGUAAUACGUAGGUGGCAAGCGUUGUCCGGAUUUAUUGGGCGUAAAGCGAGCGCAGGCGGUUUCUUAAGUCUGAUGUGUAAGCCCCCGGCUCAACCGGGGAGGGGCAUUGGAAACUGGGAGACUUGAGUGCAGAAGAGGUGAGUGGAGUUCCAUGUGGAGCGGUGAGAUGCGUAGAUAUAUGGCGGAACACCAGGGGCGAAGGCGGCUCUCUGGUCUGUAACUGACGCUGAGGCUCGAAAGCGUGGGGAGCAAACAGG
rnacentral:rRNA from 1 species